AGAGUUUGAUCCUGGCUCAGGACGAACGCUGGCGGCGUGCCUAACACAUGCAAGUCGAGCGGAGACAGUGAGUAGCUUGCUAUGAGCUGUUUUAGCGGCGGACGGGUGAGUAACGCGUGAGCAACCUUUCCCAGACAGGGGAAUAACACACCGAAAGGUGUACUAAUACCGCAUAAGACCACGGGAUCACAUGGUUCUGAGGUAAAAGAUUUAUCGGUUUGGGGUGGGCUCGCGUCCGAUUAGGUAGUUGGUGAGGUAACGGCCCACCAAGCCGACGAUCGGUAGCCGACCUGAGAGGGUGAUCGGCCACAUUGGGACUGAGACACGGCCCAAACUCCUACGGGAGGCAGCAGUGGGGAAUAUUGGGCAAUGGGGGGAACCCUGACCCAGCAACGCCGCGUGGAGGAAGAAGGUUUUCGGAUCGUAAACUCCUGUCCUUGGAGACGAGUAGAAGACGGUAUCCAAGGAGGAAGCCCCGGCUAACUACGUGCCAGCAGCCGCGGUAAUACGUAGGGGGCAAGCGUUGUCCGGAAUAAUUGGGCGUAAAGGGCGCGUAGGCGGCUCGGUAAGUCUGGAGUGAAAGUCCUGCUUUUAAGGUGGGAAUUGCUUUGGAUACUGUCGGGCUUGAGUGCAGGAGAGGUUAGUGGAAUUCCCGGUGUAGCGGUGAAAUGCGUAGAGAUUGGGAGGAACACCAGUGGCGAAGGCGACUAACUGGACUGUAACUGACGCUGAGGCGCGAAAGUGUGGGGAGCAAACAGGAUUAGAUACCCUGGUAGUCCACACUGUAAACG
rnacentral:rRNA from 1 species